rnacentral:rRNA from 1 species
GAGUUUGAUCGUGGCUCAGAUUGAACGCUGGCGGCAUGCCUUACACAUGCAAGUCGAACGGCAGCAUGAUCUAGCUUGCUAGAUUGAUGGCGAGUGGCGAACGGGUGAGUAAUACAUCGGAACGUGCCCUGUAGUGGGGGAUAACUAGUCGAAAAGAUUAGCUAAUACCGCAUACGACCUGAGGGUGAAAGUGGGGGACCGCAAGGCCUCAUGCUAUAGGAGCGGCCGAUGUCUGAUUAGCUAGUUGGUGGGGUAAAGGCCCACCAAGGCGACGAUCAGUAGCUGGUCUGAGAGGACGAUCAGCCACACUGGGACUGAGACACGGCCCAGACUCCUACGGGAGGCAGCAGUGGGGAAUUUUGGACAAUGGGCGAAAGCCUGAUCCAGCAAUGCCGCGUGUGUGAAGAAGGCCUGG